AUUCAAAUAGCUUAUAUAAGAGUAUAAUAUUGAAGAUAUUAGGGAGAUGUUUAUAUCUUUGGAUA
rnacentral:tRNA from 1 species